GGGUUGUGAGGUUAAGCGACUAAGCGUACACGGUGGAUGCCCUGGCAGUCAGAGGCGAUGAAGGACGUGCUAAUCUGCGAAAAGCGUCGGUAAGGUGAUAUGAACCGUUAUAACCGGCGAUGUCCGAAUGGGGAAACCCAGUGCAAUUCGUUGCACUAUCGUUAACUGAAUACAUAGGUUAACGAGGCGAACCGGGGGAACUGAAACAUCUAAGUACCCCGAGGAAAAGAAAUCAACCGAGAUUCCCCCAGUAGCGGCGAGCGAACGGGGAGCAGCCCAGAGUCUGAAUCAGCUUGUGUGUUAGUGGAACGGUCUGGAAAGUCCGACGGUACAGGGUGAUAGUCCCGUACACCAAAAUGCACAGGUUGUGAACUCGAAGAGUAGGGCGGGACACGUGGUAUCCUGUCUGAAUAUGGGGGGACCAUCCUCCAAGGCUAAAUACUCCUGACUGACCGAUAGUGAACCAGUACCGUGAGGGAAAGGCGAAAAGAACCCCGGCGAGGGGAGUGAAAAAGAACCUGAAACCGUGUACGUACAAGCAGUGGGAGCACCUUCGGGUGUGACUGCGUACCUUUUGUAUAAUGGGUCAGCGACUUAUAUUCUGUAGCAAGGUUAACCGUAUAGGGGAGCCGCAGGGAAACCGAGUCUUAACUGGGCGUUAAGUUGCAGGGUAUAGACCCGAAACCCGGUGAUCUAGCCAUGGGCAGGUUGAAGGUUGGGUAACACUAACUGGAGGACCGAACCGACUAAUGUUGAAAAAUUAGCGGAUGACUUGUGGCUGGGGGUGAAAGGCCAAUCAAACCGGGAGAUAGCUGGUUCUCCCCGAAAGCUAUUUAGGUAGCGCCUCGUGAACUCAUCUUCGGGGGUAGAGCACUGUUUCGGCUAGGGGGUCAUCCCGACUUACCAACCCGAUGCAAACUACGAAUACCGAAGAAUGUUAUCACGGGAGACACACGGCGGGUGCUAACGUCCGUCGUGAAGAGGGAAACAACCCAGACCGCCAGCUAAGGUCCCAAAGUCAUGGUUAAGUGGGAAACGAUGUGGGAAGGCACAGACAGCCAGGAUGUUGGCUUAGAAGCAGCCAUCAUUUAAAGAAAGCGUAAUAGCUCACUGGUCGAGUCGGCCUGCGCGGAAGAUGUAACGGGGCUAAACCAUGCACCGAAGCUGCGGCAGCGACACUAUGUGUUGUUGGGUAGGGGAGCGUUCUGUAAGCCUGCGAAGGUGUGCUGUGAGGCAUGCUGGAGGUAUCAGAAGUGCGAAUGCUGACAUAAGUAACGAUAAAGCGGGUGAAAAGCCCGCUCGCCGGAAGACCAAGGGUUCCUGUCCAACGUUAAUCGGGGCAGGGUGAGUCGACCCCUAAGGCGAGGCCGAAAGGCGUAGUCGAUGGGAAACAGGUUAAUAUUCCUGUACUUGGUGUUACUGCGAAGGGGGGACGGAGAAGGCUAUGUUAGCCGGGCGACGGUUGUCCCGGUUUAAGCAUGUAGGCUGAUUGUCCAGGCAAAUCCGGAUAAUCAAGGCUGAGGUGUGAUGACGAGGCACUACGGUGCUGAAGUAACAAAUGCCCUGCUUCCAGGAAAAGCCUCUAAGCAUCAGGUAACAUCAAAUCGUACCCCAAACCGACACAGGUGGUCAGGUAGAGAAUACCAAGGCGCUUGAGAGAACUCGGGUGAAGGAACUAGGCAAAAUGGUGCCGUAACUUCGGGAGAAGGCACGCUGGUGUGUAGGUGAAGCCCCUGCGGGUGGAGCUGAGACCAGUCGAAGAUACCAGCUGGCUGCAACUGUUUAUUAAAAACACAGCACUGUGCAAACACGAAAGUGGACGUAUACGGUGUGACGCCUGCCCGGUGCCGGAAGGUUAAUUGAUGGGGUUAUCCGUAAGGAGAAGCUCUUGAUCGAAGCCCCGGUAAACGGCGGCCGUAACUAUAACGGUCCUAAGGUAGCGAAAUUCCUUGUCGGGUAAGUUCCGACCUGCACGAAUGGCGUAAUGAUGGCCAGGCUGUCUCCACCCGAGACUCAGUGAAAUUGAACUCGCUGUGAAGAUGCAGUGUACCCGCGGCAAGACGGAAAGACCCCGUGAACCUUUACUAUAGCUUGACACUGAACAUUGAGCCUUGAUGUGUAGGAUAGGUGGGAGGCUUUGAAGCGUGGACGCCAGUCUGCGUGGAGCCAACCUUGAAAUACCACCCUUUAAUGUUUGAUGUUCUAACGUUGGCCCCUUACCGGGGUUGCGGACAGUGUCUGGUGGGUAGUUUGACUGGGGCGGUCUCCUCCCAAAGCGUAACGGAGGAGCACGAAGGUUAGCUAAUCCUGGUCGGACAUCAGGAGGUUAGUGCAAUGGCAUAAGCUAGCUUGACUGCGAGCGUGACGGCGCGAGCAGGUGCGAAAGCAGGUCAUAGUGAUCCGGUGGUUCUGAAUGGAAGGGCCAUCGCUCAACGGAUAAAAGGUACUCCGGGGAUAACAGGCUGAUACCGCCCAAGAGUUCAUAUCGACGGCGGUGUUUGGCACCUCGAUGUCGGCUCAUCACAUCCUGGGGCUGAAGUAGGUCCCAAGGGUAUGGCUGUUCGCCAUUUAAAGUGGUACGCGAGCUGGGUUUAGAACGUCGUGAGACAGUUCGGUCCCUAUCUGCCGUGGGCGCUGGAGAAUUGAGGGGGGCUGCUCCUAGUACGAGAGGACCGGAGUGGACGCAUCACUGGUGUUCGGGUUGUCAUGCCAAUGGCACUGCCCGGUAGCUAAAUGCGGAAGAGAUAAGUGCUGAAAGCAUCUAAGCACGAAACUUGCCCCGAGAUGAGUUCUCCCUGAGACUUUAAGUCUCCUGAAGGAACGUUGAAGACGACGACGUUGAUAGGCCGGGUGUGUAAGCGCAGCGAUGCGUUGAGCUAACCGGUACUAAUGAACCGUGAGGCUUAACCUUACAACGCCGAAG
rnacentral:rRNA from 2 species